rnacentral:RNase_P_RNA from 1 species
UUUGGGCAAUUGCUGCAUGCACUGACAUGUAGAGGAAAGUCCAUGCUCGCACAAUCUGUGAUGAUUGUAGUGUUCGUGCCUAGCUAAAUCAUAAGCUAGGGUAGUUUGGUUGUGACUGGACUAACGGCGAAUGGAAAACCUAAGUCUAUUGUAGAUAGAUAAGGUUGAAACAUUCUGAAAGUGCCACAGUGACGGAGUCUGUUUAGAAAUGAACAGAAUGGAACGCGGUAAACCCCACGAGCGAGAAACCCAAAUUUUGGUAGGGGAGUCUUCUCAAUUAGGAAAUGAACGAAAGAGAAGGACAAAUUUUUUGUAGAUAAAUAAUUGCCUCCUAAGUACGAGAUGGAGAUCGUUUGCAGUACAAAGGAACAGAACAUGGCUUAUAA